CGAGUCGAAGUGACAAGUCAAUAAAUCUAUCAUAUUUUUUAUCGUUCUAUUCAAUGAUGCUUUCGCUCACAGCUUCAUUACAAAACAAAUAUCUUCCAAUUCAAUAUCAAAUUGUUGAACGAAGAGGGCCCAAAGUAAUUGAGUUACACGAAGAAAAGAUAUGUGAUUAUUACUAUUGGCUUGAAGACGACUCAGAACGAAAAGAUAAAAUUUUGGAAAUAGAAAAAUACAUACUUGAUAAAUACAUAGACCAGAAUUCACCAAAUAUUG